rnacentral:lncRNA from 1 species
CACACACAGACACUCAUACACACACAGACACACACACAUACACACACUCAUACACACAGCCACACACACACAGACACACACUCUCACACACACUCAUACACACUCACACACACAGAUACACACACACAAAUACACACUCACUCACACACACAUAGACACACACAGACAUACACACAGACACUCACACAUACAGACACAUAACAUACAGACACAUACAUGUGCACAGACUCACACACACACUCACACCCAGAAACACACACACACACUCACACUCACAGAGAUACACGCACACAAACACACACACAGACACACACAGACACACAGCUUCACGCAUAGACACAGACACACACAUACACACACACACACAGACACAGAGACACACAUUCACAAACACUCACACACACACAUAGACAUACACACAGACAUACACACACAGACAAAGCCACAUACAGACACACACAGAGACACACAAAUGUGCACACACUCACACAUACUCACAGACACACUCACACACAAUCACACCCAGAAACACACACACACACACACCCCACAGUAGCCUGAGAUUAAGGUUGGGAGAGAAAUCAUGAACAUGGCCCAUAAUGGUAGCAUAACCUUCCUUUUCUCUCUCAUUUGAGGACACACAGGUGAUACUGUGAUGAUCCAGGCUCCCCCUCCUGCCUCUCACCCAUCCACCUCCUGCAGGUCGACACAGAGCCUUCUACAAACAGAUGAAUACAUUGAUUCUUGCAGAAGGCAGGAGAAUCUAUGUGGCUUCUGACCUUUUGGGCUUCCAGUUGACUCUGGGUCUCAGGUAACAUCAAUGGCCGAGGGUAAAGGGUAGAUUUCAUGCUGGACCUCAGGAGAGUGGGGGCUGAUGAAGCUUGUGUUAUUGCUGUGUGCAAGCUAUAAAAAUUAAAUAUAAAAAUUAUGGUAUAAAACCC